rnacentral:rRNA from 1 species
AAUCAACGCUGGCGGCGUGCCUCAGACAUGCAAGUCGAACGAUUAAAGCUCUCUUCGGAGAGUGUAUAGAGUGGCGCACGGGUGAGUAACACGUAAGUAAUCUACCCUCGAGUGGGGAAUAACAACCGGAAACGGUUGCUAAUACCGCAUAAUGCAGCGGCACCACAAGGUGACAGUUGUUAAAGAUUUAUCGCUUGAGGAGGAGCUUGCGGCAGAUUAGCUAGUUGGUAGGGUAACGGCUUACCAAGGCUACGAUCUGUAACCGGUCUAAGAGGACGGUCGGUCACACUGACACUGAAUAACGGGUCAGACUCCUACGGGAGGCAGCAGUCGGGAAUUUUGGGCAAUGGGCGAAAGCCUGACCCAGCAACGCCGCGUGAAGGAUGAAGUAUUUCGGUAUGUAAACUUCGAAAGAAUAGGAAGAUUAAUGACGGUACUAUUUAUAAGGUCCGGCUAACUACGUGCCAGCAGCCGCGGU